UGGGGAAUAUUGCACAAUGGGCGCAAGCCUGAUGCAGCCAUGCCGCGUGUGUGAAGAAGGCCUUCGGGUUGUAAAGCACUUUCAGCGAGGAGGAAGGCGUUAAGGUUAAUAACCUUGGCGAUUGACGUUACUCGCAGAAGAAGCACCGGCUAACUCCGUGCCAGCAGCCGCGGUAAUACGGAGGGUGCAAGCGUUAAAUCGGAAUUACUGGGCGUAAAGCGCACGCAGG
rnacentral:rRNA from 1 species